UCAGAUUGAUCAACAGACAGACAGACAGAUAGAUAGAUGGAUAGAUACCAGAACUUGAACAUAGCUUCUUAGAGAGAGAGAGAUCUGGAUCGUCUGAUUGA
rnacentral:sRNA from 1 species